UGUCCGAUGAGAAUCAGAGUGAAUCUUCCCAUUCUGUGCAACAUUUGGGAGCAAAGCAACGACUUGCCCCUUUCAGUUUCUUUCUUCAUCCUGGAAGGGAGUGAAGGGAAGAAAUUGUUCACUUACAGCAAUUCAAGGUGCAGGAAAUGAAUCCAGUGAUGAAAGGUUGGUUCAGCCACUUGAUUCUUUGGAACCCGAAAUUCAUUGGUCUGUGAAUCUAGAAGGAGAAAUGUUGGACAGUUCUGACUGCUUCACAAGUUUUUCAAUAUCGUUUUGACCAGAAAAGCAACAUGACCUAUGCACUGGAGUGACAGUGUUCCAGUGGGGGUUCUGUGGAAAGGGCUUUUACCAGCUAAACAGCCACAACAAACUUCACACCAUUAACAGCGGGGAGAGACUGUACAUGUGUUCUAUUUGUUGAUGAGGCUUGAACUGAUUAACCAUCCUGGAAGGAUAUAAGGACAGCUGCACCAUGAUGAAACCAUGGAAAUAUGGGGACUUUGGGAAGGAUUUCUGUACCCCAUCUGCAUUGGAAACACAUCAACACUGUCACACUGAGGAGAUGCCAUUCUCCUCCCAGAGUGUGGGAAGGGAUUCACUCAGUCAUCCAGCCUGCUGAGACUCCAGCAAGUUCACAAGUGAUGAUGGGGGCUGGAUUCUGUGUUAAUCACGUCCAGGACUGAACCAUGUUCAGUCUGACUGUGAGUGAAAUGGAAGGGUCAGAGGGUUUCACAAAUUUUAUUCUAAUGGGCUGAUUCUCCUUGAGUAUUUUUUCCAAAAUUUACUUUUAUGUGUGAUCACAUGGAUAAAUGAUUCAGUGACUGCUUUGAAGGUACGGAGCAUUUAAUUUGCAUUUCUGUUUGGAACCACACACAGCACAUCAUGUUACCAGAGAGAUGGGUUGUGGGACUUACCAGGUUCUUUUGGGUUUCUCACAGAAGGCUUUUGCAGAUUUGCUCUUUAGUAGUCUAUAGCUUACUUGUUGGAGAUUUUUGAGGGAAAAUAAAUUAGGGCAAUUUUGCCUAGCUUGGCUCGAGGGAAAGAAAGCCUGAGAGGUGACCUCAGUGAGAGGCAUUGAGCUUUGUGGCAGGAAGUAGCCUGUUGAAUACUUAACAACAAACCAAGAACUUUGGAUGCUGGAAAUCAGAAAACAAAACAAAUUGCUGGAGAAACCGCAUCAGUGGAGACAAUGCAGAGUUAACAUUUCGGGUCUAGUGCCCCUUCUUCCAUUCUCACAGACAUCUCGAUGGCAGCAAACUAUUAGUUUCAAGCUCACACAGGAGCUGGAAAGUGGAAUCAUUAGAGGGUGAACAAGAAUCAAGGUAUUGUGGAAAAGGCGGCAGAAGUGAAAGAACAGAUUCUCACUGAGGUGCUGAGAAAGAUAGUGCAGAAGAUGGAAGUGAAUCAAAAGUGCUGAUGAACAUUUAAAGGGAAAUUAUCAGAGAUUAAAAAGUAAACCAGCUGUGUUGGUGAAAAUGGCUGGUCUUUCUCCAGAGAAAGAUGGCCCAAAGCAGUAAACUUGACUGGGGGAAAAUAGAGACAGAAGAGAUCCUGGUGGAUUAAUGUUUGGAGGGAAGUUACUCCAGUUUUGUCUAAAAUGGAAGUGAGAUUGUAAUCCUGGGAUAUACUGGCUCAGCACUCAUUAUUAGAAAAAAAAGUGACUUUUCUUCAAGACGUUUGUUGUAUUAACCCACUGUUUUGUUAGUGAUUGUGUGUAUAUCCCAUUCAUUUAAGAAUGAAUUUAGAUUGUGCUCUGGUAAAUGAAUGUUAUUUUUCAAAUUACGAUUGAAUCAUGUGGAUGAUAGAUUGGAAUUGAUAUAAUGAGGUAUAUAGUGUUUCCACAACCUGUGAUGGUGUGCCACAGUUCAGGGGUUAUCUCUGUGAGUAAACAACUGUUUGCCUAUUUAUAAUCCAUAUAUCAUAGUGAGGCAAUGCCUUUUUGGUAUUAUCACUGGACUGUUAAUCCAUUGACCAGUUAAUGUUGUGAGGAUGCACGUUUGAAUCCUGCCAUGGCAGAUGGUGGAAUUUAAAUUCAAUAAAUAUCUGGAAUUAAAAGUCUAA